ensembl:lncRNA
CAGCUGUCUGGAUUCUGAAAAGGCGGAGGCUGCUGCAAAGAAAGCUGGACAGGAAAUGUGGAAAGGCCAGCUAGUUGUCACAUUCGGCAAAUAUGCAGGACAGUAUUUCAGUUGGCUGCUUGAAAAUGAUGUGGGCUGGGUCAUAUGGCUGCUGUCUGAAUAUUGCCAGAAGAGUGAGAAGAACGAUCUCCUAAAGUGGCAAAAGGAACGAUUGCUGCAGUAUGCCAGAGAGGUCCCGCCUGUCACCUUUCAUCUUGACAAACGUUUGGAGGAGUCAAGGAAAGACAAAGGAAAGAAGGCUGAAUCUACCCUUUCUAAGUUCUAGCAGGAUCUUGACUAUGCCAGUGAUGCUGAAUUGUUGGCAGCUGCUGAGACUGUCCUUGAAGAGUCUGAGGUAGCGGUCUCCACACAGCUGACCACCUGGGGAGAGCUCACACCGGCUGUGAGUCAGGACUCUUCCCUGAGCCUCAGCACAUCUCAGGGAAGACCUUCUUCCCCUGUAGACACCUCUGCCUCAGAAACCGGUAACAUCUUGCUGGAGGGCUGGCAGAAAUACUGGGAGCAUCCACCUCCAUCUACACAAGCCAAUGGUAUAGCUCCUCCUAACAUCAAGUGGCUGAAAUGUGAUGAGAUGUAUGGUCUGUUUUAGAGGCCUUUCAAGUACAAGAAUGCCAAAGGAGAGAUUGUGGAGA